rnacentral:rRNA from 1 species
AAUAAACGUUGGCGGUGCGCCUUAUGCAUGCAAGUCGAACGGGGUUAUGGUCUUCGGAUUGUAACCUAGUGGCGAACGGCUGAGUAACGCGUAAGUAACCUGCCUUGGAGUAGGAAAUAACUUGCCGAAAGGCGAGCUAAUGUCCUAUGUGGUAAUGAAGCAAAUGCUUGGUUAUUAAAGCCUUAGGGUGCUCCAAGAGGGACUUGCGUCUGAUUAGCUAGUUGGUAGGGUAAUGGCCUACCAAGGCGAUGAUCAGUAGCUGGUCUGAGAGGAUGGUCAGCCAGAUGGGGACUGGGACACGGCCCCAACUCCUACGGGAGGCAGCAGCAAGGAAUUUUGGGCAAUGAGCGAAAGCUUGACCCAGCGACACCGCGUGAGGGAAGAAGGCCUUCGGGUUGUAAACCUCUUUUCUUGGGGAAGAAUUUUGACGGUACCCAAGGAAUAAGCCUCGGCCAACUACGUGCCAGCAGCCGCGGUAAUACGUAGGAGGCGAACGUUAUUCGGAUUUACUGGGCGUAAAGGGAGCGUAGGCGGUUCCUUAAGUCAGAUGUGAAAUCUUCUGGCUCAAUCAGAAGGCGUCGUUUGAUACUGGGGGACUUGAGAGCAGCAGAGGGAAAUGGAAUCCCCGGUGUAGCGGUGAAAUGCGUAGAUAUUGGGGAGAACACCAGUGGCGAAGGCGAUUUCCCAGGUUGUUUCUGACGCUGAGGCUCGAAAGCGUGGGGAGCGAAGCGGAUUAGAUACCCGCGCAGUCCACGCCCUAAACGGUGGACACUAGAUGUAGGAGGUAUCGACCCCUUCUGUGUCGAAGCUAACGCCUUAAGUGUCCCGCCUGGGGAGUACGGCCGCAAGGCUG